AUCCGCUGGCAAUGGACAAAGAGACACUUUAAUGGUGGUGGUAUUCUUAUAUCAGUCAGGGGAAGAGCAGAUAGCAGUUCUUUGUUGGCCCUAGAUUGAUGCUUGUCUUGUGGCCGGAACUGUUUGAUGCCUAGGACAUACAA